rnacentral:antisense_RNA from 1 species
UGGUCACGGGGGCAGAGGCAGGGGCCAGCGCUCUGCAGUACCUGGACCCGAGGAUGUCGCCGCCGCCGGGCUCGCGGCCGCUGCAGGUGUCUCCGGUCCCUGAGAUUAGCACCGCCUCCUCCCGGGCUGGCGGCUCCGGCCCAGGCCGCGCACCUGCUGCUGCGGCUCCCCCGCCGCCGCGCCGGAGCUCCGCGAUGUGCCCGCGCCUCCCGGGCAGAGGGUCCGUGCCGCGGGACGCACGGGGCCUACCUCAACUUCAUUCUGGAAGAAUUGCCUAACGGACAAAUAGGUGACAGGAAGCACUGAGAGGACAGUCAGGCUUAUCAUCAGGACUGCCAUUACCUAUAAAGCUGAAAACCCCCAAGCCUUGAAGGGAAAUGUUAAACACCAGCUGCCAGUCUUUUGGUUGUACAACAAGAAGGCCUGGACAGUGAGAACUCUUUCUGGAUUAGUUCCAUCGAUGUUUAGUCCCUGAAGUCAGGAAGUACUUUCCCACUAAGGGUCUGCCUUUCAAGGUUCUUUUGAUAUUGGAGGAUGCCCCUCGGUUAUCUAGAACCCCAUGAGUUCAACACUGAAGGCAUCAAAGUGGUCUACUUGCCCCGAAACACAUCUCUAAUCCAGCCUCUAGAUAAGGGGGUCAUAAGGACCUUUAAUGCCCAUUAUAUAUGGUACUCUUUGGAAAAAAUUGUCAAUGCUAUGAAAGAGAACCCUGAUAGAACAUCAAGAAAGUCUGGAAAGAGUACACUGUUGAAGAUGCCACAUUGUUACAGGAAAAGUUAUGAAAGUCAUCAAUCUCAAAACAACAAGUUUCUGCUGGAGAAAACUGUGUUCAGAUGUUGUGCGUAACUUCACAGGAUUUACAGCAGAGCCAGUCAAGAAAAUCAUGAAAGAGAUUGAGCAUAUGGCAAAAA